UACGUAGGGUGCAAGCGUUAAUCGGAAUUACUGGGCGUAAAGCGUGCGCAGGCGGUUUUGUAAGACAGGUGUGAAAUCCCCGGGCUUAACCUGGGAACUGCAUUUGUGACUGCAAGGCUGGAGUGCGGCAGAGGGGGAUGGAAUUCCGCGUGUAGCAGUGAAAUGCGCAGAUAUGCGGAGGAACACCGAUGGCGAAGGCAAUCCCCUGGACCUGUACUGACGCUCAUGCACGAAAGCGUGGGGAGCAAACAGG
rnacentral:rRNA from 1 species